rnacentral:rRNA from 1 species
GGUGAACGCUGGCGGCGUGCCUAAUACAUGCAAGUCGAACGAGGUGCUUUUGUAGCAAUACGAGGGUAUCCUAGUGGCGAACGGGUGAGUAACGCGUUGGUGACCUACCCCAAAGUGUGGGAUAACAGUCCGAAAGGAUUGCUAAUACCGCAUGUGGUCUUCGGAUUUAGAAACUGAUGACUAAAGGAGCAAUUCGCUUUGGGAGGGACCUGCGUCCCAUCAGCUAGUUGGUGAGGUAAUGGCUCACCAAGGCUACGACGGGUAGGGGACCUGAGAGGGUGACCCCCCACAAUGGAACUGAAACACGGUCCAUACACCUACGGGUGGCAGCAGUAGGGAAUAUUGCACAAUGGGCGAAAGCCUGAUGCAGCAACGCCGCGUGUGCGAUGAAGGCCUUCGGGUCGUAAAGCUACUUUCUGGGAGAUGAGCAAGGACAGUAUCUCAGGAAUAAGUCUCGGCUAACUACGU